GAUGGCUGUGGGGCAGUUUAAGUUGGUUGAUCAAGACGGCCUUCAACAACAAGGCUUGUUCUGUAUUACUGGCAAAAAAGAUCAACAGCAUGUUGAAGAGCAUCAGUACGGAGAUGAAGCUGGAGGAUAACUAUAACUUCACCAUCAGCUAUGCCUUGAGCGAAAAGAUUAGGGUGACCUCCACCAGCAUCCACGUGCCUUUUAAAGGUUUGGUUUUCAGGCAGGGGGAGUCUAUCAAUGGCUCCUUAAUAAAGUCCGGAUCAAAUCCAGUCUGGAGUGACGCUAACUGGAUGGCCUAUAUCUGCAUCUCUGAGUUUCUGUUCAACGGUGCUGCGAUGUCACUCUAUGAAUCAGGACCGUUUCUGCUCAAAGA